AAAAAAAAAAAAAAAGACAACAACAAAAGAAAAACGUAAAACAAAAAAAAUGGUUGUGUUGUGAGCAAAAGUUGAUUCGACAACAUAGAUCAGAUUCCUUCUCUCUCGGAUCAGAAAACCUCUAUUUUCGAAUUGGAAAACCCAGAGAACUCGAAUGACGAUAUUGUAACACCAAAGAUAAGUAACGAUACCCAUUUCUUAAUUUGUAAAUACCUAUGACUUAUAGAUCCAAAAAAUCUAAUCUUUUAUUUUACCUGGUCAUUGUUCAAUUAGUUUCGAUAAGAGGAAGAUUAGAGACAACAAUUGGAUUGAAGUUUGGCCUAAAACUUACCUGUGAGUUUUGGAUUUCUUUUUCCUUGCAAGUAGGGAAAAAAUGUCGUCUACAAUGGAUCACUAAGCUUUUGAGUGGAGCUUGAAGAUAUCGAAUCGAACUGAGUCGGAUUUCAAAGAUUUGUAGCUUCCCAUCAAAAUUGAUUUUGAAUUUUAUUGUUGUUUACAUGGAUACAUGUUUAUAUAUUUUUUCAAGUUUAAGGCUUCGUUAAUUUUUUCCUUUUGUUAAAAGUCAGGAAAACAAAUAAAGAACACUAAAUCAAAGAUAAGUAACGAAAACCUCUUAUUGAUUUGUAGAUGCCUCUACUACAAUCUUUUAAAACUCUAAUGUUUAAUUUUACUUGGUCAUGUGUAAAUCAGUAUCAGUAAGACGAUAAUUGGGGAACUAAUGUGUUGAAGGACUUAUAAGAAAACGAUAAUUUGGAUUUCUUUUCCCUUGCAAGUAGUUUUCGAAUUAAAGAUAAGAUACUGAAUCUUUGUUUAGUUUUAUAAAGACUGUAUUUUUCAUUUUAAUCAGUCUAAUGUGAACAUGUUUUUAUUUUUUGCAGGGUAAUUCCUGUUACAGGGUUACAUAAGUUAAACUUUGAAAUUAGAAGUGGAAGAGUAACAUUGCAAUCUACUAUAUAUACUGUUUAGUUGAGAUUCUAAGCAAGGAAACAUAAAUGUGUCGGAUAAUGUAUAUAUUGAUUCUUGUAUUUAGUAAAGGUUGAAGUUCAUAACUGAAGAAAAUAACUGUAACUAAGGACUGCUAUCACCACAAUGCAUGUUGAAGGUAAUUUGAUUAAGCAGAAGGAAUUGUUUAUGUUGGAGCAACCCGGAGCUGUAGAUUGGUGAUGUUCGUGAGAACAUCUAUUGAGGAUUUCUGAGUCAAUCUGGAGCUGUUAUUUUCAGGUGAAUGCAUCCCCGAGAAAGAACUUGAACCUGGAUUGGACUGUUGAAGAGAUGUUGGUGUCCUAAAAUGACCAGUAGAAGAAUGACCAAGGUUGAUUGAUUUUGGAGUUGCGUAAUUGUUGGAGCAAAUUUUUGGAAAUCAAGCAGUUUAAACAGAAAUCUCGGAGAAGAUUAGAAGGCAAGAAAAUUCUGUCUAUUUAAUUGUUGAUGAUAAACGUGUGGGGGGAAAUUGUUUGUGGGUCAUGUAAUUUUCGUGAAAGGGUGGGCUUGGGCUAAUUUUUUUUUGUAAUCGUGUAACCCAAAAUUAGAUUUUUACUAAUAAAAACAGUGGCAGGGUUGUAAAUAAGGUGGAACUUCAGGAAUUUUUUCAUAAAUGUUAUGAAAAUGUAUAUAUA